ensembl:misc_RNA Y_RNA Y RNA
GGCUGGUCCAAGUGCAGUGAUGUUUAUAACUAAUUGAUCACAAUCAGUUACAGAUUUCUUUGUUUCUUCUUCACUCCCACUGCUUCACUUGACUGGCCUUUU